CCAGACUCCUACGGGAGGCAGCAGUGGGGGAUAUUGCACAAUGGGGGAAACCCUGAUGCAGCGACGCCGCGUGGGCGAAGAAGUAUUUCGGUAUGUAAAGCCCUAUCAGCAGGGAAGAAGAAAUGACGGUACCUGAGUAAGAAGCACCGGCUAAAUACGUGCCAGCAGCCGCGGUAAUACGUAUGGUGCAAGCGUUAUCCGGAUUUACUGGGUGUAAAGGGAGCGCAGGCGGCACGGCAAGCCUGAUGUGAAAGCCCGGGGCCCAACCCCGGGACUGCCCUUGGAACUGCAUGGCUGGAGUGCGGGAGGGGCAGGCGGAAUUCCUGGUGUAGCGGUGAAAUGCGUAGAUAUCAGGAGGAACACCGGCGGCGAAGGCGGCCUGCUGGACCGCGACUGACGUUGAGGCUCGAAAGCGUGGGGAGCGAACAGGAUUAGAUACCCUCGUAUU
rnacentral:rRNA from 1 species